GCGUCUUUGUCCUUCGCUGGAGGCGUCGACGAUGGAAGCUGCAGGCUCCACGUCACACACAAAAGAAGCAGAAUCGCUGGGCUAUGCUCAGGAGAUGACUGUAACUAGUAAUACAAAAAAGCUCAAAAAAUGAGCGAGAGGUUGUCAACUUGUGAAAAGAACAAAAACAAUCCAGAGCCAACAGCGCAAUGGAGAUCCAAGGACAAGAACAGCAAAACCAAAGCUGCUUGAUAUAUGUGCUGCCACUUCCUGGAACACUCCAGCAUUUACUUUGUCCGAGGAAGAAGGAACCGACCACCAAAAAGGGCAGGUUAUGCUUUAGCAUUCUUUAUCAUUCCAUAGGAUUUUGUUUUUGGAUUUCUUAAUUCUGAAAUCUAAAUUGUAAAAUAUCACUUCAUCUCACUUCGCUCUGUUUUCUUUUUUUGCAUCUUAUCGGAAAGUAGAUUCACCACACUUUUCCAUUUAUGAACUGUAAAAGACAAAAAAAAAAAGGAAAAGAUAGCUUUGUUUAACAGAGGAAAAAGAGAAAAGGAGUACAGCUGAGCAAAACCUCGCAAAUCUAUCAAGUCACCAGAAACAAAAAAAAAAAAAGAUAUUCAAAAUUGAAAAGGACAACUCUUUAUGCAUUCCACUUCUAAUUGACGCCAGAACAUCUCCUAUCAGAACAGUGAUUUUGUAAUUAUAUUUUUUGUUUAUCAUCCUAUUGUUGAUGUUUAAGUAUUGGAGGAUGUGGUACGUCCUGCACGUUCUUUGGUGGUAAGGUUUUUCAUAUUUUAGCUUUGGAAAAGAACUUAGUAAUGUUUUGAUGGUUUUUGUUCUUUUCCUGGUUUGAGAUGCAAAGCCAAAACUUCAGAGAUGAUACUGAGCAUAUUUGAAAUCUUUGGUCAUGUUUGCAGCCCACUUGGGGAUGAAAGCAUUAUAUGAAUAAUUUAUUUCACCUGAUAUCUGUGGAAAGCAUUGAAAAUACAGAAGUACAAUUUUGAUGAUGCCUUAUGAGUGGCGGAAGAGACGGUGAGUAAAUCCAUCCAGCCAGGGUAUUUGUGUGCUUUGAGAAACUAAAUCAGCAUUCUUAACCUCUGCCUCCUGGAAAGGUUCACUAAUGGAGGAGAGAUCAUUCCUUGGUGAAUAGAAAUUGUUUGAUGCUUUACUUGUUCUCCACCUCAGCUACUAUAAAAGUUAAAAGUGCUUGCAGCUUGAUUCCAUACAUCUGUUAAGUUCUUGUGAAACAUGCAGGUUCACCUACAAGAUUACAAUAAUGAUGGACACAAUCACAACUACAAUCCUGGAGUGCUUCAGUGAACCUAAAAGAGCUGAGAGAACUAAUCUGUAUAAAGGAAUCUGAAGUCUCUUCCAUAAUAUAUAAUUUUCAAGAUGUUUCUCUCCAAGAAUUUUUCACUUUUUAU